rnacentral:rRNA from 3 species
GGUUAAGCGACUAAGCGUACACGGUGGAUGCCCUGGCAGUCAGAGGCGAUGAAGGACGUGCUAAUCUGCGAUAAGCGCCGGUAAGGUGAUAUGAACCGUUAUAACCGGCGAUUUCCGAAUGGGGAAACCCAGUGUGACUCG